CUUGUCUGCGCAUGUGCAGACACGUUUUUUUCUGAAGCGCCAAGGCGGGGGGAUUGAACGUGAUGCACUCGUUUGAAUUCUGCAUCCAGCUCUGCAUUUUCGACCCGCCCCUACUCUGCCGCUGACUGGCUCCGACCGACCGUGACAUUUUUCAAGGCCUGUCGCUCCACUUGCGCAAACCUAACCAACGAAUGCAACGAACACUAGCCAAUCAGAGGCAGGUCUUCGCGGAAUGCGGGUUAUUCUCAUAUCUGAUUGUCUUGGUGUGAUGUGGACCAAAACCUAAUUCUUUGGGGAGCUCAUAUUGUUUUGG